rnacentral:other from 1 species
UGAGUCCUGCGAUGUACGUGUCCGCCGGGAUGUUUUGAGCCAACACCCGAACAUAGGGAAUCUGUGUCACCCAUUGCGCGAGGAUGCCCCUUUGGGGGGACCUUCAGACAUGGGUGCAGGAUACCCACCUGCUGAGAGCAGGUUCAAAACAAACGGAGCACGGCAUAACGGGGCUCUU